UGGGGAAUUUUGGACAAUGGGCGAAAGCCUGAUCCAGCAAUGCCGCGUGUGUGAAGAAGGCCUUCGGGUUGUAAAGCACUUUUGUCCGGAAAGAAAUCCUUGGCUCUAAUACAGUCGGGGGAUGACGGUACCGGAAGAAUAAGCACCGGCUAACUACGUGCCAGCAGCCGCGGUAAUACGUAGGGUGCAAGCGUUAAUCGGAAUUACUGGGCGUAAAGCGUGCGCAGGCGGUUUGCUAAGACCGAUGUGAAAUCCCCGGGCUCAACCUGGGAACUGCAUUAGUGACUGGCAGGCUAGAGUAUGGCAGAGGGGGGUAGAAUUCCACGUGUAGCAGUGAAAUGCGUAGAGAUGUGGAGGAAUACCGAUGGCGAAGGCAGCCCCCUGGGCCAAUACUGACGCUCAUGCACGAAAGCGUGGGGGAGCAAAACAGGAUUAGAUACCCCUGGUAGUCCACGCCCUAAACGAUGUCAACUAGUUGUUGGGGAUUCAUUUCCUUAGUAACGUAGCUAACGCGUGAAGUUGACCGCCUGGGGGAGUACGGUCGCAAGAUU
rnacentral:rRNA from 1 species